CGGGGCCGUGCGGGCGCGGACGCAACUUUCGGCGUGUGCCGAGCGGCGGGGCGGGCGCGGUACGAGCGGAGCGGAUCGGCAAUAGAUGUAUUGCGCGUCCGACUCCCUCCCUUCCCGCCCCUCCCUCCGCCGAAGGUGGGACGGCCGUACGGCGCGGUACGCCCGGCGCUCCAACCGCGGAGCCGCCCCGUCGGGUACCGCCGGGCCGGGUCGAGCCGGGCGGGGCGGGAGGGUGCGCAGCCCUCGCGGGGAACCGGGGCGGAUCGGGCCGUACGGACAGCGCCGACUGCCCGCCGAUUGGCGUCUGCGAUCCUCUCCGAUCGCGGGGAUCUGUUUCCCACCGGGAACAGCCCGGGAUUACCCCCGCUGGUUGCUCUCCCGGAUCCCGGCCGGGGGAAACUCCUUACUCCGGUGCUCGGCCCGAGCCCUCCGGCCCCGCUGCCGGCCCGGGGCGGUGUUUGACAAGGGUGGGCCGGGCCAGGGGCUCCGGCCACCUCCCCGCAGCCGAACGGCAAGCGCCUUCCUGGGAGGGGCCCGCGCCGGGUUCGGGCUUCGAACCCCGAUCCACGGGAUCGGCCGGCGACACCGGGCGUUGCUGCGGGCGGGGCAGGCGCGGCCCGCACUACACUUCCCGGAGGGCCCUGCUGCCACCGGGCCCGCCCCCGCCCCUCCCGGCAUCCGAUUGGUCAUCUCCCCACGGCCGUCCGUCCCUCUCCUCCUCUCAUUGGCUGGCGGAGCCGUCGCUCCGCGGGGGGUAGAACAGGGUGGGGGAGUGGCGGGGCGCUGGCGGCACGCGGGAGCUCGGCGCUGACAGGGCGGCGCGCGGAGGCGCUGCGGGACGGGCCGGGACAGGACGGGCACCUCCUGCCCGCGGCAGGUGAGCUCCGUAAGACUGGUUUAAGCAGUGCAGAAGUUCAUGGAUGGAAGAAGAGUCCUUGUUUCAGAACACCUACACCUGAAGAUUUUAUAAACGCCAUUAGAAGAGCUGGCGUGCAGGAGGAAUGGAUCUCAUCUGUCUGCUGUGAUUCUUGACCCACCUAAUCGGCUAAUGGCCACGAGCAAUAACAGCGUGGCUCAGGGGAGCGGAGCUGGGGAGAGAUGCAGCCGCUUGGGGCAGAGAAGCACUGCGUUGUACCGAAGGUGUUGCACAUGAUCCUGCCGUUGAUGACCGAACCUCCCUGAAAUCUUCUUAUCAGUUGCUGCCAAGAUGAGAAGGAUAGCAGGAAAGAGGAGUGCAUAAGUGAUUCUCAUGACAGUUAAUUUCAUCAUUUUAUCAAAUGACAGGUUAUUGUUCCCGCUAUGCAAGGAAGUUGAACUGUUUUCCUGAGCAUACCCAGAAUUAAUUCAGCACAAGUUGAUCAGGCUAUCUGACCAGAACGUGCUGGUUACUGCUGGCCUGGGCCAUUCUGAUGGAAGAGCAGGAAGCAUGCAGACCAGCUGCAUCAAUGGCUUGCCUGGGAAGGGGUGUCACCAACAGAGGAGUUGUGGAGCUGGUGGUGGUGAUUUGGUGUUUUCAGCAGGUGCAGCUGCAUCUCUAAGCUCAUGGUGUGGAGCACCCUGCCAAGCACACUCUGCUCCUCUGGGCUGCAGUGAGAAGUGGAUGACCGGUGCUGCACACAGCUAAGCACACAGCCUUAUCAGCAAGCGUGCUUUUAGGUUAAAGCACAGCCAUCUCCAUACUGACAGAGAGGAAGUCACAGAGUUACAGCGUUGACCAGCACAGUGGCUGGAGCAGGGAACAAAGUUCAUCAUCCUGAGACACCAGACCUUUGACGAAGCGCAGGUUACCUGUGACAGUGCGUGCGGCGCUAACAAAGAGUCCCUGUCAGCCUUUGUAGAAGACUUUGAGGCUUCAGUCAGCGUUGACUUUCCAGAAGAUGAGGAGCGUGUUGGUGAAGUGCUAGACUGUGGUUCCUCGGAUCCCUCAGUUCGUGGGGGAACAGAAGAAGCUCAGUGUGGAGAUGAAAAGAUGACAGAAGCAGCAGAAUCCCAGAAGUUGUGAUCACACAGGCAGAUGAGGAGCAGAAACAUCUGUAAGCCAUGACUGCACCUGCCUACGUGAUGCUGAGAUGGGGUCCUCCAGCCAGCUCAGGCCUUUCCUGGUCUUUUUUCUAUGUUCUGCUGAAUCCUGAUCAACCCGAAUGCUGCCUGUUGGCACUGGGAUAGGGAGAGCCACCCAUGCAGACCCAGAUGCUGUAGCCUCACUUUUCUAAGACGGCACUCGACUGGGCAGUGAAGCACGGCAAUCUUGAGAUGGCAGAGAUGGUCGCCAAAGCAGGCGUCGAUGUCAAUGCUAAAUCGGUAACCCUGUAAGGAAACAUAUGCAACCUUCCCCCAGUCUGAGGGCUAACAAGUUUGGAGGCCAGGCCUACAUGCUGUGAGUCCCUGGGCUGGGUGCGUUGUUUAAGGGCUUGUUCUCAGCAGUGACCCCGCAGGAAGGGCUGCUGGUGCUUGGGCUGCUCCCCGAGGCACAACCCAGCACAGGUCUGCCCAGAACAAUGCAAAGGCCACAGGUGUCCCGCAGGAAGGCUGUGGCAGAAAAGAAAAUACAGCGCCAAAGCCCUGAAGCUCUGGAAUGUGGCUGCCAUGCCUGUGCUCCCAUAUGUGCUCCGGCUGCUGGACUGCCUGUGUGCUUCAGGUGCGGCCCUGGCUGGCCGCUACCGUAUCCAGAGCUCAGUUGAAGGUUCUACCCAACAGCCCAGCAUCACGGGAAUUGCUCCCACGGCAAUCCCAUGGCGUGGUUUCUGGACAUGCCCACUCCAGGAGUUCCCGUGUGGCAGAGGGAAGGGGCAAUGCACGGAGCAGUCAUCUCCAGCCCACAGUCUGAGGCUUUGGCUCAGAAGCAGUGCCACCUCCACCUCUGUGGCACUGAGAUGUCACACUUCGGAUCUGCCCACUCACAAGUCAGCCCGGGUGCCUGUGCGGCGUAUUUAUUUUCUCCUUGUUUAUUUUUAAGUCUAAGAAUAUUUGCUGAAAGCAGGAUUAUCACUUUGUAGACCACCAGCAGCUGUUGAAAAGCAGGGCAUAAAAGUUUGUUUAUGUCUUUAAUAACCCUCUUAAUGACGGAGCAAGCACAUUAUUCACAAUAAAAUAGCCUGGCAUAAUCUUGCUUCAGUGUGCGGUGGGAGGGAAUUAAGAAACAUCUGCUCUGCCAUAAAAUAACAUAAUAUAUACCAUUUACAUUAGAAACAUGUGUCUACACAUAUGUAUAUUAUAUACAUAUAUUUAGAACGUCUCAGUGGAACUCGUCUUUUUAAUUACAUUUGGAGAACAACAAAAUGGUUAAAUGAUGAUAUUUUUAUUUCUGCAUCUCAG
ensembl:lncRNA